rnacentral:rRNA from 1 species
AUGAACGCUAGCGGCAGGCUUAACACAUGCAAGUCGAGGGGCAGCACGGGUAGCAAUACUUGGUGGCGACCGGCGCAAGGGUGCGUAACGCGUGAGCAACAUGCCCGUAUCAGGGGGAUAAUCCAGGGAAACUUGGUCUAAUACCCCAUAGCAAUUAAAGGAGGCAUCUUUUUAAUUUAAAGCUUUGGUGGAUACGGAUUGGCUCGCGUGACAUUAGCUAGAUGGUAAGGUAACGGCUUACCAUGGCUACGAUGUCUAGGGGUUCUGAGAGGAAGAUCCCCCACACUGGAACUGAGACACGGUCCAGACUCCUACGGGAGGCAGCAGUGAGGAAUAUUGGACAAUGGAUGGAAAUCUGAUCCAGCCAUGCCGCGUGCAGGAAGACGGCCCUAUGGGUUGUAAACUGCUUUUGUAUGGGAGCAAUAAGGUCUAUGCGUAGACUGAUGAGAGUACCAUACGAAUAAGCAUCGGCUAACUCCGUG